rnacentral:rRNA from 1 species
AGAGUUUGAUCAUGGCUCAGAAUGAACGCUGGCGGCGUGCUUAACACAUGCAAGUCGAACGGUAACAGGUCUUUCGGGAUGCUGACGAGUGGCGCACGGGUGAGUAAUGUAUAGGUAACGUGCCCCUUAGUCUGGGAUAGCCACUGGAAACGGUGAUUAAUACCGGAUACGCCUUCUCAUUUGAUAUGAGUCGGGAAAGGUUUUUCGCUAAGGGAUCGGCCUAUAUUGUAUCAGUUAGUUGGUGAGGUAACGGCUCACCAAGACUAUGACACAUAGCGGGUUUGAGAGGAUGAUCCGCCACACUGGUACUGAGACACGGACCAGACUCCUACGGGAGGCAGCAGUGAGGAAUAUUGCACAAUGGGGGGAACCCUGAUGCAGCAACGCCGCGUGGAGGAUGACGCAUUUCGGUGUGUAAACUCCUUUUAUAAGAGAAGAAGANGACGG